GGACGAACGCUGGCGGCGUGCCUAAUACAUGCAAGUCGAACGGUCUUUCUAUGGAAGCUUGCUUCCACUGAGAAGAUAGUGGCGAACGGGUGAGUAACACGUGGGUAACCUGCCCAUAAGAGGGGGAUAACAUCCGGAAACGGGUGCUAAUACCGCAUAGUUUUCUUGAUCGCAUGAUCGGGAAAGGAAAGACGGCCUUUGUGCUGUCGCUUAUGGAUGGACCCGCGGCGUAUUAGUUAGUUGGUGAGGUAACGGCUCACCAAGACGAUGAUACGUAGCCGACCUGAGAGGGUGAUCGGCCACAUUGGGACUGAGACACGGCCCAAACUCCUACGGGAGGCAGCAGUAGGGAAUCUUCCGCAAUGGACGAAAGUCUGACGGAGCAACGCCGCGUGAGUGAAGAAAGGGUUUUCGGAUCGUAAAACUCUGUUGUCAGAGAAGAACAAGUUGGAGAGUAACUGCUCCAGCCUUGACGGUAUCUGACCAGAAAGCCACGGCUAACUACGUGCCAGCCGCAGC
rnacentral:rRNA from 1 species